GUGCCAGCCGCCGCGGUAAAACGUAGGAGCCUAGCGUUAUCCGAAUUCACUGGGCGUAAAGCGCGUGCAGGCGGUUCGGUAAGUUGGAUGUGAAAUCUCCUGGCUCAACUGGGAGAGGACGUUCAAGACUGUCGGACUAGAGGACGGUAGAGGAAGGUAGAAUUCCCGGUGUAGUGGUGAAAUGCGUAGAUAUCGGGAGGAAUACCAGUGGCGAAGGCGGCCUUCUGGGCCGUUCCUGACGCUCAGACGCGAAAGCUAGGGGAGCAAACGGGAUUAGAAACCCCGGUAGUCC
rnacentral:rRNA from 1 species